rnacentral:rRNA from 1 species
AUUGCCUCAGUAACGGCGAGUGAAGCGGCAAGAGCUCAAAUUUGAAAGCUGGCUCCUUCGGGGUCCGCAUUGUAAUUUGCAGAGGAUGCUUCGGGUGCGGCCCCUGUCUAAGUGCCCUGGAACGGGCCGUCAGAGAGGGUGAGAAUCCCGUCUGGGAUGGGGUGUCCGCGCCCGUGUGAAGCUCCUUCGACGAGUCGAGUUGUUUGGGAAUGCAGCUCUAAAUGGGUGGUAAAUUUCAUCUAAAGCUAAAUACUGGCCGGAGACCGAUAGCGCACAAGUAGAGUGAUCGAAAGAUGAAAAGCACUUUGAAAAGAGAGUUAAAAAGCACGUGAAAUUGUUGAAAGGGAAGCGCUUGCGACCAGACUCGCCUCCAGGGUUCAGCCGGCAUUCGUGCCGGUGUACUUCCCUGGGGGCGGGCCAGCGUCGGUUUGGGCGGCCGGUCAAAGGCUCCCGGAAUGUAGUGCCCUCCGGGGCACCUUAUAGCCGGGAGUGCAAUGCGGCCAGCCUGGACCGAGGAACGCGCUUCGGCACGGACGCUGGCAUAAUGGUCGUAAACGACCCGUCUUGAAACACGGACCAAGGAGUCUAACAUCUACGCGAGUGUUCGGGUGUCAAACCCGUACGCGCAGUGAAAGCGAACGGAGGUGGGAGCCCCCUCGUGGGGCGCACCAUCGACCGAUCCUGAUGUCUUCGGAUGGAUUUGAGUAAGAGCGUAAAUGUGGGGACCCGAAAGAUGGUGAACUAUGCCUGAAUAGGGCGAAGCCAGAGGAAACUCUGGUGGAGGCUCGCAGCGGUUCUGACGUGCAAAUCGAUCGUCAAAUUUGGGUAUAGGGGCGAAAGACUAAUCGAACCAUCUAGUAGCUGGUUCUGC